rnacentral:tRNA from 1 species
GCCUCGUUGGCUCAUUUGGCAGAGCGGUCGGCUGUUAACCGAUAGGUCACCGGUUCGAUCCCGGUACGAGGCG